AUUUAAUUGAAAGUACAGGGGAAAUUCAGGAAUGUAAAGGCUCUUAGUGCAAAUGAGAAGUAGGCUUCCAAGAGCUUUUCAUCUGAUGAUUGUGAAGUGAUUCAUGCUGCACUGCUACUGCUGCCAUUAAGGAUGAGAAGACAGAAUGAACUGUGGGAGAUUGACAGUUUUGUAAAUCAGGACAUAAAUACUGAGUUGCAGGCGCCUGAAAACUCAGGUACUAUCCCAUGGGGACCAGAUGGCACGUUACAUGCAAAAGCCAAGAACUGAAACUUUAAGACCCCCUGUUUAUAGCGGAAAAGAAAUUUGUGAGGCCUGGCUACUCUUUGCAUAGGUGUAAGUUUAUACAACAGCAGUUAUCCCUUGUGUCCAUCCCUGUCUCUGUCU
rnacentral:lncRNA from 1 species